rnacentral:rRNA from 1 species
GGAGUCUGGGCCGUAUCUCAGUCCCAAUGUGGCCGAUCAGCCUCUCAGCCCGGCUACCCAUCGCGGGCACGGUGGGCCGUUACCCCGCCGUCUACCUAAUGGGCCGCGACCCCAUCCCCUCCCGUGAAGGCUUUCCCGGGAAGAUCAUGCGAUGAUCCCGGAGUAUCCGGUAUUAGCAGCCGUUUCCAGCUGUUGUCCCGGAGGAGGGGGCAGGUUGGUCACGUGUUACUCACCCGUUCGCCACUCUAUAUCCGCCGUAGCGGUUUAAUCGUUCGACUUGCAUGUGUUAGGCACGCCGCCAGCGUUCAUC